AUUCUUCACUCAUAGACUACCUAGCGGCCAAUGGUUUUGACCUGCUCAGCCAUAGCCACGCUCCUCCAGAGAAGUCUGCUAUUGGUGCUUUGGAUGAAGUCAUGUAUUUGAAGAGGCUAUUGGUCGGGAGUAUUAGUCUGUCAGAUGACUCUCAGACUCUUGGGGAAAAUGGAGGGACGGCCCCUGAAACCCAGGAGGCAGAUGUGGAGGAAUCCAGCACAGAAGGUAGAACUGAAGGAGAAGAGAGUGGGGGAGAUGGAGGGAAUAAAGGAGAAGAGGAAAGAGAGAUCAGCGCUCCUCUAGUGCUUUCUCAGGAACGCUUGGAGGAGGUGCAGAGGAGACUGCAGACACUUGGGGAGCAAUUGAAGAGACUGCAGGCUGUCGAGGAGGACCAUUAUAAGUUGCAAGAAGCUCUUGCUAAAUAUUCACUUCAGGGGGGCCACUACAACUGAGAAACAUCACAACCUGCUGUUACAAGGUACUACCACAUACUUAAUACAAAACCAUUUUUUUAUAUGUAUCAUCUUCAUUUUUAUAUAGCACCAUUCUUUUUGUAAGUAUAGCAAUUCAGUUUCUAUCAUCUGUCUUGUUUGUCCUCAGAUCACUGUAUGUGCUGGACUCGAGACUUGCUUUCGAGGGAUUCGCUGAUUGACUAAUUCUGCCUGAAUGUUCCUGCUCUAUCUCUUCUCUCUUCUCAACUGUCCUUUCUGAAGAUUGCCAGCUGGCCUCCAGCACUUUCCAUACCACUGAGAAAUGAAAUGAAGUGGGUGUUGUGAAAUUAUAGUGAUCCUUAACCUUGUAUGUGUUUCUGUUGAGAAGUAUGAGAGACAGUCUUGCCAAAAGAUGCCAAAGAAAUGUGCAACACCUAGAGAGAUUCCAGAGCGAAAUGCUACGAGUGCAUGUGAAAGCACUGUAACAUACACAAACAUGUGCACACACACACACAACGAUAAACCUGUCUAAGCAUGUCAAAAGUAAUUUAGUACCAAAAGACUAUCUAUAUUCAUAGAAAAGUAUAGGUGCAUCUUUGUCUGUUUCUCAGAAUAUACUUUAGUCAGGUAAUUUAAGCAGAAUAUGUGCCCUUUCAUUUUUUAUUACGCAUUUCAAGAUGUUCACGCAUCCUAAUAAUUAUUACCGUACUAUAUUACAUGUAUUUUCAAAAAUAAUAGAUAUUCAAAAGGAGAUAUGUCGAUUUUUAGCAGAGUAUUGAGCCGUUGUAGCAUGCAUUGCAGUAAAAUGGAGAGUAAAAACAUGGACUUUUUUAUUUUAACCCUGUUAUGGUUUUGAUUUGUCUUCUUACCAGAAGUUCUAUUGUUGCUCUGUGAGUGAGAAAAGAAGUGCUAAGUAGGAUAGAUCAACAGAUGGAUGAGCAGAGGAAGUAGAGAAGGUUUGAGGAAGGUGGGCUUGCUUUGUUAUGCCUAACCCCUCUGAAGUGAAAUCAAGGCAAGCAUUGAUGUCAAGAAAUGUCGUCAGGGUUUGACAUUGUGGGUGUGAGGAAAUAUGCACAUAUUACGUCGCAUUUUGAAUAACCAGCUUGCAGGAACCUCCACACGUCGGUGCUGUUAUAACGUGAAGCAUGCACAGUGUAUAGCGUUCUCUAACUCUGGUGUUGCAGAUUGUACUCUGGUAGGUCGACCCAGAUUGUAUGAUAAUCAUCACACAUUGCCUAUUUUUGUGUACUAUGCAAAUUCUGUUUUGGUGGCUGUAAAACGCAUCGGUCAUUUCAGAUAAUUACGUUUUUUUCUACCUUUAUGUUCUACAGUUCAGUUAGCAAAAUUAUAGUUUUUCCUGUAAUUGCUUGUCAUUGUUUCUCAGUUUAUUUUAUUUUAGGGAGUAGUUUUCUUUGUAAGCAGGACCAAAGAAAUGAUAUUGGUACAAAGUUUAGAUAUGAAAACACUUUUGCCUUGCAUGGGAAGGUCAGUUGUCAAUUGGAAUAACUUACUGAGGGGGUCCAAACUAGUUGCCCACCCCUUUCCAAACUCCGAGCGUUCGCCUUAGCUGCUGGAUCAACCCACAAAAAGGUGAAGUGGAUGGAUUGGCUUAUAAUCCUAUUUAAGACAGAAGGAAUUAAGUUGGUUCAGAAUUGAAUUGCAGUAUGAGUAAUAGAGAAGUAUGUUUAUUCUCAUUAUCAAUCCAUGUUUUUUUCCAGCUUAAGGGACCAGCUUUUUCUCUCCUGCUCUCCUUAUCUAAUUAUGAAACCAGACCACAGACAAUCAGGCACUUGCAGGGUUUUAAAAUGAUGUUAUAUCUCAGAGUUCAGAGACAGGAACACAAACUGUAGGUUUUUUUCACCAGUACUGUAAUUAUUUUCAUGUAUUCAUGAUGCUACUGCAACAGGUCUUUCUACCCUCGACCGACUUCCAAAUUUAUGCAACUUAUUUUACCUUAUCUGUUACAUAAUGUGAUUUAUAUUAAUUUUUACAUUGUAAUUGUGUUGACAAUAUUGAUUUCUGUAAGGCCUUGGUUCCUUUUCCUGCUGUUUUCCCAGCUGAUUUCCUUCGCAAAAUGGUUUACCAGAACAAUUUGCCAGAAGUUUUGCAUUCUGGGCAGCAGUGUUGGUCCUAGUAAAUGUCAAUAAGACCUUUUGUUCAUUUUCAUAGCCUUUUCCUUUUAGAAGUAGCAAAUGAAACGGUUUAAAGUUUGGUAAUGAAACUAUCAUGGUGCAAGAUCUGUUCUACCUACUUCACUUUCCUUCAGUCCUUUUGCACAUUUUUUUUCAUUCUCGAUUGCUUGAAUGGGUGGUUUAUUCAUUUUCUUUGAUUCUGUUCUUUUGGUUUUCUUAGAAAAUUAUGUAAUUACCAUACUAUGCAUUGCUUGUUAUAAAAGAAGGACUGAGAGAGACACAGUACACCCUUAACCAGAACAACUAUAAAAGGCUUCACUGAAUUUCGCUUUUAUGGCAAGAGUCUUAUUUUUGAUGUGGAACUAACCACAGUUUAGAUUCGGUUAGAAAGUGUGUUUCAAAUUGAGCCUUCAACUUUUGAUAACUGAUAAGACAGGGUUUUGGGUGUGGUGUCAUUCUCUCUCAUUCCUUAAACUUUUUAUAUGUAUCUGUCACAUAUAUGUAUACAUAGUGAUAUAUCUGUAUGUUUAAAUCUAUUUAUAGGGUGCCUUGUGCCGAUUGGGUUUGUUUUAAUUUCUAAAGGGCUCUUUUAGUCCAACUGACAGGCACGGGCAUACUUGCCUUCUCCUCAUUUAGCGAUGCUCAGUGUUAAAUAUGAAUCUGAUAUUUUGCUCCAGACCUGCCAAAUUAUAGCAGUUCCACUCAUUUGUUGUUCUUAAUAAUUGCCGAGUGCUUAGUACUGAGUGCUCUUUGUUAGAUCUUUUAAACCUUCUGCAAUCCAUGACUGUCUUUUAUGUAAUUCUGUGUACAGGAGUCCACUCAUUACAGGCAUUCCAUUGCUGUCUGUCUAUAUAAAUGAUUAUGCAAGGACUAUUCUGUGUAUUUGGGCUUUGAU
ensembl:lncRNA